rnacentral:rRNA from 1 species
GACGAACGCUGGCGGCGUGCCUAAUACAUGCAAGUUGAGCGAUGAAGCUUGGUGCUUGCCCCAAUUUGAAGAGCAGCGAACGGGUGAGUAACGCGUGGGGAAUCUGCCUUUGAGCGGGGGACAACAUUUGGAAACGAAUGCUAAUACCGCAUAAUAACUUUAAACAUAAGUUUUAAGUUUGAAAGAUGCAAUUGCAUCACUCAAAGAUGAUCCCGCGUUGUAUUAGCUAGUUGGUGAGGUAAGGGCUCACCAAGGCGAUGAUACAUAGCCGACCUGAGAGGGUGAUCGGCCACAUUGGGACUGAGACACGGCCCAAACUCCUACGGGAGGCAGCAGUAGGGAAUCUUCGGCAAUGGACGAAAGUCUGACCGAGCAACGCCGCGUGAGUGAAGAAGGUUUUCGGAUCGUAAAACUCUGUUGGUAGAGAAGAACGUUGGUGAGAGUGGAAAGCUCAUCAAGUGACGGUAACUACCCAGAAAGGGACGGCUAACUACGUG